UCGAAGUUGUUAUAAUCGGGUCACAUGAAAUGCACCCCAAAUUUGGGAAUUAGGCAUCGUAACUAUGUCACGGGACCGUACCCACAAUCACGAUAAAUUAUUAAUCGUGCCUAAGGCAAGCUAUGAUGUUUGUGAUUUAUCUCCUAAAAUUAAUAUGAAAUCAAGCAUAACUCUGAUUUUUGGGUAUGGAAUUAUUAUGAAAGAAAUAUAUAUUUGCAACCACAUAAUAAGAGGGCAUAUCACUUUAACUUCAUUUCUAUCCGGCAGAAUUAUUCAACCAUGCUAAUUGCUCAAUUUGUCAUGAGACAUCUACGACGAACCUUGAUGUAAUUGUACUACUAAUAUGACGGGAAUAUGUAAAACAUGAAAGUAUAGGUGUGAUUGUAUAUUAAGUUCAAUUUACAACAUAAAACCAAAGUUAUCCACCUUGGUACACAUUACACGUCAUUUUUUCCCUUUUUUUUUGAAUGAGCUUAAUGGCGUUACAUUGGCUAGAAGCUCUUAACGGAAAACAAACCAAGUAAUAAUGAAAAGUCAAGUAAAGCUUUAGUUUUCAUGUAGAAAGUUUCAAUUUACAGCACGGAGACCUCCUAUUAUAGGAUUACAAGAUUAAAACAACGAGAAAAUUUCUCUUUACAAAGGCAUCCUUUUACUUUCUGAUUAAAAUUAACAUAGAUGACAUUUAUUUCAUACUAAAACUAAACCAAGAUCGACAAACUCACAGUACACAACAGAUGAAUCAGAGAGCAAUCAUAGCUUCAUAUUAAUAGAUUUUAUAAUAGUUUGAGUAGAAACCAUACCUAACUGCUCGAAGCUUCAACUUAGAGGAAGAGAAAGCCAAAUAGAGGCUAGAACAGCUAAUUAGAGUCCCACUAUGCAGAGAACAGCAAAAUCAACAGCGUUUUUUAACCCAAAAUGUUUAGAAAACCAGAAACAUGGAGAUAAACUGCAGCAAACUCAAUCAAUUCAGAAAAUAUCCUUCCUGCCCUCUUUCUUUUAUUUAUGUUUUCUUCUUCUUUUGUGGAAUUUCAGUGCUCUAAAUCAGAGAGUGCUCCCUUUCUUUUGCUCUUGUGUGUGGGUGUGGAUCUAUAAGAGAAGAGUGAGUGAGAUGAAUUUCGGGAGGUCAGUGAAGGUCGGUAGAGUCGCGUGAGAGGAGGUGAGCGAGUUCCCUGAUUUUUGUGUGUGUUUUUCUAUGGAAAAUGAAUAAGAAGAAGAAAGAAGCUCUCUGUGUUGUGCGUUUUUUUAGGGGUAGAGAAAUCUGAUCUUUUAACUUGGAUAAAUGAAGUAGAAGAUGAAGAAGAGCUCUUCUCUCAUUUUUGCUUGGGAGCCCAUUCCUACAAAAAAUCUGAUGUGUGUCUUAUGCCUAGAGAAUGAUGAAGAUUGGGUGGAGGAAAUAUUUUUGGGGAGAGUGGGGAAAGCGGGGAGAGUGGGGAAAAGUGGGAAUAAAUUCAAACAUAGUCAAAAAUUAGAUGCUCACAGUUGCCCCUCUUUGUUUGGAAACAUGAAGAGUUUUCAAACAAAGAUAAGGUGAGCCAUGUGACUAAUUUUUUAACAAAUCCCUUUUUUCAAAAGAGAAAAUAAACAAAGGAAAGGGUGCAACCGAGUCCUGAUUUUGGACAACCUACAUAUCUUGGGUCAUAAGGGAAUCAAGUCGCGUGUAGUUCUGGAAGUUUUGGUAGCUGGGACUACCGGGAAGCUAUGAUUUCGCUGCUGUUUCUGCUUGCUGAGCUCCUUAUUACACAUAAAUAAAAAAUAAAAAACUAAACUAGCUAAGCCUGUCAACUACGAGUUACAAGAUUCCUAUCUAUAUAUCUUCUAAAGCUUGAUGUUGAGCCUUGGCUGGUUCUUCCUGCAGAAUCUGAUCUGAAUCUUGCUGCUCGUUAGCUACAUGUGCUAGUUCUUUCAUCUUCAACUUUUCGGAUCAAGAUGGGACUUGGAAAGAUUGUGAUUUCAAUCACGUCUUGAGCAGUCCAUAUCUUUUCUCCACUUUCGCACAUUGAGUUUACUUCUUUUUAAUCUUUUUCUUCUUUUCUUUAUUCUUGAUUGAGACUCAUUCUUUUGGUCACCUCAAACCCUGUGCCUCGAGGUAAAACCUGCUCAGACACCAAAACGAACAAACAAACGAAUUUUUUCUGCCCCAGUUUUUACUAGAAAAAUUUCGUGAGUUUUUUGUAACUAAAAUCUAAACUAUUUCUUUAAUUGAAAGCGAUAAAAUAAGGAUUGUGUAUCCUUGGGAAAGAGAUUAGGGAGUGGAGCCCUAUAUCUACACUAAAAAUCAACCAGGGAGUGGAGACCCUGUGUUAGCAAAAGGCGACUAAGGGAUGGAGACCCUAUGUCUAAAAAUCUCAACCCNNNNNNNNNNNNNNNNNNNNNNNNNNNNNNNNNNNNNNNNNNNNNNNNNNNNNNNNNNNNNNNNNNNNNNNNNNNNNNNNNNNNNNNNNNNNNNNNNNNNNNNNNNNNNNNNNNNNNNNNNNNNNNNNNNNNNNNNNNNNNNNNNNNNNNNNNNNNNNNNNNNNNNNNNNNNNNNNNNNNNNNNNNNNNNNNNNNNNNNNNNNNNNNNNNNNNNNNNNNNNNNNNNNNNNNNNNNNNNNNNNNNNNAGUGGAGGCCCUAUGUCUAAAAAUCUCAACUCAGGGAUCAGAGCCCUAAUGUUGGCAAAAAGGCAAAAGAUUGAUAUUGUGGCUUCUAAACUGCCCUUCUUCUUUUUUUCUUGUUCUUUUUUUUUCCUUUUUUUUAUCUAUUUUCUUUCAGUUCAAUUCAUUUUUUAGUAAAAAAAUGCAGGAAAGAAUUUGGAGGAGACUUCCCUUUUGGGUUGAUUAUUGUUGCAAAGCUGUUUCUAGCGCUUGCACAUUUAUUUUUCCAUUUUGGUUGCACCUGCUUCUUGCAUGGUUGCUUUGGAUUGCACUUGUUUCACUUUUUCAAAUAAAGAACAAUUGUUAGUUUGAAACAGUGGUUGGUUUCGUGGCCUUGACUGUUUUGAUCACUUGAUCGCGGCCCAACUCUUCUAGUGAGAACCUCUGCCGUUUGCUGGAUUUUCUGAAGAUUUAUCUCUCUCCUUAAACCAAGGAACUCAAAUUUCCAAACUUUCCAUAUGACGCUUCAACCACGUGGGGCUUUGGUCUUUUCACCUUAUUUUGCCGCUAGGGGCUUUUGAUCUUGGAUUUCUUUUCAUUUUCAAUGAUUUUGAUUUCAAAGCAUCGGCCAUCAUGGUCAAUCGGGAUCGACUUGAUGCUCCUGUUGAGGCUGGGUACUUUUCUUUGGACUUUGAUUUUGUUAAGUAGAACCCGGUAAGACCAAUCUUGCCACCUUUUCUUUGUAUUAGUUUUAGAACAGAGUUAGACCAAAAGGGAUUCAAAGAAAAUAAAACAAAGGACAAGAAAAGUGAAUUUAAGGAGAAGUGUCCCUUUCAGGGAAGAAGAAAAAGAAUUAUCUGGAGCGCAUGCGGACUUCAAUAGAUAUGACAUGCUUCUUGGACUAGAUACCUGAUCUUCACAACUAUCCAACUUCUUAUAAACCCAUUGCGACCCGUGUUUUAAAACCAAGAAAUUUUGCCAGGACUCUUUCAGUACCAAUGGUAGUGAGGGGUUUCUUCUUCAAUUAACAACGCCCUUUGCGGGUUUUCGCCAAUCGACCUCUCUCAUUUCUCUUCUCACCGUUGCCUUAUAGUGUUCUUUACGAGUUUUCACUAACAAGACUCUCUCGUUUUUCAAUUUCUCUGCUCACCAUCACCUUACGGUGCCCGUAGGUUUUCACCAAUAAAACUCUCUCAUUUUAUUUCUCUUAUCUUGAUUGCAUUGAAUCCAAACAACUGGGUUCUCCGAUUUUGAAAACCUUUCGCCGAUUGAUCGGAAGGACUUGAACAAGGUUUGGGUAAAAAGAGUUGGAUCGAAUUACAACUUUGGAACCAUUCAGGCGGGAUCAUCGCCGAACCAUUAUAACAUCUGCCCAGUUUCACUUUUGGGGAAAAUUUGAUUUUUGUUUUGGUGUAACUGAACCCCAGGAGAGAGGCUGCCUACGUAUCCUUUUGGAAUCAAGUCGAACGUAGUUCAGGGAAACAUGUUUUUUGUUUCUUUUUUUUCUUUCCUUUUUUUGAGUUUUAAAGAGGGUAAUGAAAGAAAAGUAACCGGCUCAAAGGGUUAGCAAAAGGAUUGGAGUGUUUGGGGUAGCAAGAAUGAAAGCCUUUGUCAUCCCAGUCGGAUAGUGCUAUUGCUGUAGAAGGACUAGACAUAGUAUCUUUUGAUCGCGUCUGCGUUCACAGCUGCCUCGGGGUCGUUUCCUUUGAUAUCUUCCAGAUAUAACGCUCCUCUUAGUAAUAUCUUUCAGAUAAUGUAUGGGCCUUUCCAGUUAGGAGAAAAUUUCCCUUUUGCUUCCUAAUGAUGAGGAAGAAUACGCCUUAAAAUAAGUUGUCCCACUUCAAAUUUUCUGGGCCGUACUUUCUUAUUGUAAGCACAGGCCAUUCUUUGUUGGUACAACUGCCCGUGGCAGACUGCGGCCAUUCGCUUUUCAUCAAUCAGGGUUAACUGUUCCAGACGGUCUUUGACCUACUCACUAUCUUCAAUUUCAGCUUCAACAAUGAUCCGGAGAGAAGGGAUUUCAACUUGCGCGGGUAUUACGGCUUCAGUGCCAUAAACCAAAAGGUACGGGGUUGCUCCGACCGACGUGCGCAUAGUAGUACGAUACCCUAACAAUGCAAAAGGCAACUUUUCAUGCCACUGCUUGGAACUUUGAAUCAUCUUUCUCAAAAUCUUUUUGAUGUUCUUGUUUGCUGCUUCGAUGGCACCUUUGGCUUUAGGCCGAUAAGGAGUAGAGUUCUGAUGCGUUAUCUUGAAUUGUUCGCAUAUCUCCCCCAUCAAAUGACUAUUCAAGUUUGCAGCAUUGUCUGUGAUAAUAGUUGCAGGAAUUCCAAAACGGCAGAUAAGAUUGGAGUGCACGAAAUCUACCACAGCUUUCUUGGUGAUAGAUUUGAGAGUGAUUGCUUCAACCCAUUUCGUGAAAUAGUCGAUGGCGACCAAUAUGAAUCUGUGCCCAUUUGCGGCUUUUGGAUCGAUUGGCCCACUGACGUCCAUGCCCCAAGCAAUAAAUGGCCAAGGCGCUGACAUGGGAUGCAGUUUUGUGGGAGUUGCAUGAAUCAAAUCACCGNNNNNNNNNNNNNNNNNNNNNNNNNNNNNNNNNNNNNNNNNNNNNNNNNNNNNNNNNNNNNNNNNNNNNNNNNNNNNNNNNNNNNNNNNNNNNNNNNNNNNNNNNNNNNNNNNNNNNNNNNNNNNNNNNNNNNNNNNNNNNNNNNNNNNNNNNNNNNNNNNNNNNNNNNNNNNNNNNNNNNNNNNNNNNNNNNNNNNNNNNNNNNNNNNNNNNNNNNNNNNNNNNNNNNNNNNNNNNNNNNNNNNNNNNNNNNNNNNNNNNNNNNNNNNNNNNNNNNNNNNNNNNNNNNNNNNNNNNNNNNNNNNNNNNNNNNNNNNNNNNNNNNNNNNNNNNNNNNNNNNNNNNNNAAAUCACCGUACGCACCCUGACACUGAUGACAUUUCCGAACCAAACUGAAGCAGUCUUUUUCCAUGGUCAUCCAGUAAUAACCUGCUCGAAGGAUUUUCUUUGCCAAAACAUACCCCUUCAUGUGGGGUCCGCACACUCCUGCGUGCACUUCGUACAUGAUUCUUCCGGCUUCUUCGGCAUCAACAAAUCUUAACAAGUUGAGGUCCGGGGUCCUUUUGUAUAAGACAUCACCACUAAUAAAGAAAUCACUUGUAUGCCGUCUAAUGGUUCUCUUUUGGUCUCCGCUGGCUUGCUCGGGGUAUUCUUUGGUUUUCAAAAAUCUUUUGAUGUCAUGAUAUCAUGGCUGAAUAUUUGGUUCCGCCUCAACCAUAUUACAGUAGCCAUGCCUUUCCCUGAUUUGGAUUUCCAAGGGAUCAAUAUGGGCAUUACCUGGUUAUGGCAGCAUCGAGGCCAAAGUAGCAAGUGCAUUGGCCAGUUCAUUGUGACAACGAGGGAUGUAUCUGAACUCUAUUGACUUGAACCGCUUGCUAAGAUCUUCUAUAUAUUGCCUGUAGGGAAUAAGUUUGACAUCUCGAGUCUCCCAUUCUCCUUGCGCUUGUCGGAUAAUCAAAUCUGAAUCUCCCAUGAUUAAUAAUUCUUCGAUAUCUUGGUCAAUUUCCAUGUUCAUACCCAUAAUGCAGGCUUCAUACUUGGCGGUGUUGUUUGUGUAGAAAAAUAGAAGUCGGGCCAUGGCUGGAUAAUGCUGACCAGUGGGUGAGAUCAAGAUUGCCCCGAUUCCAACACUUUUUGCAUUUACCACUCCAUCAAAGAACAUUUUCCAAGUAUUAAUAUCUUCGGAUAUUGCCUCAACUGAAUUUACCUCUUCAUCCGGGAAGUAAGUGCUCAAAGGUUGGUAUUCAUCAUCAACCGGUUUUUCAGCCGGGUGAUCUGCUAAUGCCUGGGCUUUCAUUGCUGUGCGAGUGACGUAGACUAUGUCAAAUUCCGUAAGUAGGAUCUGCCACUUCGCAACCUCUUAGUGGGCAUUGGCUUCUAGAAUAUGUAUUUUAAAGGAUCCAACCUGGUUAUGAGGUAAGUGGUGUAGGCCUGCAAAUAAUGCCUCAGCUUCUGAGUGACCCAAGUUAAAGCGCAGUAAGUUCUUUUCAGUAAAGUGUACUUGGCUUCAUAAUUGGUAAACUUUUUGCUCAAAUAGUAAAUGGCUUGCUCUGUCUUUCUGGUCACAUCAUGUUGCCCCGAGGUCACAACCAAAAGAAUUUUCCAAGAUGGUCAGAUACAGGAACAGAGGCCUCUCUGGCUCAGGUGGGACCAACACUGGCGGAUUCGACAGAUAUUCCUUGAUUUUAUGGAAAGCUUCUUGGCCCUCGUUUGUCCAUUUGAUCACCGCAUCUUUCUUUAACAACCUGAAUAUGGGUUCACAUGUGGAGGUCAACUAGGCAAUGAACCGACUGAUGUAGUUCCAUCUACCCAACAAACUCAUAACAUCCUUCUUGGUUUUCAGAGGAGACAAAUCCCGAAUGGUCUUUAUCUUUGUUGGAUCUAACUCAAUGCCCCUUCGGCUGACUACGAAACCCAAGAGUUUGCCAGAUGGGACUCCAAAUGCGCACUUGGCAGGGUUUAGCUUCAAAUCAUAUUUGCGUAGCCGCUCAAAGAAUUUUCUCAAGUUCCGAACAUGGUCAUCCUGAGUUUUGGAUUUGAUGAUUACAUCGUCCACGUAUACCUCUAUCUCUUGGUGCAUCAUAUCAUGAAAAAUGGCAGUCAUGACCCUCAUGUAGGUUGCCCCGACGUUCUUCAGACCAAAUGGCAUGCCUCUGUAACAGUUUGUACCCCAAGGUGUGGUAAAAGCUAUCUUUUCUACAUCUUCUUCAUCUAUCAACACCUGGUGAUAUCCUGCGUAACAAUCCACGAAGGACUGUAUCUCAUGUUUGGCGCAAUUAUCAACAAGUAUAUGGAUGUUAGGCAAAGGGAAGUUAUCUUUAGGACUUGCCUUGUUUAAAUCUCUGUAAUCCAUACAAACCCGGGUCUUCCCGUCUUUCUUUGGCACUGGAACUACAUUAGCUAGCCAUGUGGUAUAUCGAACUACUGGGAUCACCCCCGUUUUUAGCUGUUUCGUGACUUCUUCUUUGAUAUUGUCACUAAUGUCAGUUUUAAACUUUCUUUGCUUUUGCUGGACAAUGGGGUAGUCGGGGUAAGUCGGCAACUUAUGAACCACCAAAUCAACACUUAGUCCUGGCAUGUCGUCAUAUGACCAAGAAAACACAUCUUUGAACUCAAAUAGGAGUUGGAUUAAUGCGUCCCGGGUUUUUCCAUCUGUGUGAAUGCUUAUCUUGGUUUCCCUGAUUUCUUCAGAACUGCCCAAAUUAACUAGCUCGGUAUCAUUUAAGUUCGGCUUAGGUUUAUUCUCAAAUUGCUCCAACUCUCGAUUUAUUUCCCUAAAAGCCACUUCUUCAUCGUAUUUCAGUUCUUGGUUCAUUAUUUCACAGUUAGACAACGUGUUUGGAUCUGGGCAUGAAGUCCGCAAGCAUGUCAUGUUAUUUAAAGCCACAUUAUUAGAACUGAAAGAAUAAAUAAAAGAGAAAAAUAACUGAAUCAGAAAGAAUAAAGAAAGAUGAACGAUGAAAUAUUGAUUUCAUUUCAUUGAAUUUGAAGAUAACAGGGUUUACAUUGGAAAUUAAAAGACAAGAAACUAAAGAAAACAUCCGAGUUACACCCUGGAAUAACUCAUGAUGAAGAAAAAUUGGCAGGACAGGUCUACCGGGAUUCCUGCCUGAUUGGGAAUGGCGUGACCUCCAAUUCUGCAGUUUGGCAUUAGGUCCCAUAGACAGCACCUCAGCGGUGCUUGAGCCUUCCCCUGGUUGAACCAUGUGGGCUUCAUACAGUAUCUUCCUCAUAGCCCCACAGAUUGCUUCGAUUUUUUCGGCUGUAAAGGCCUUAUCUUCCUCUUCCUCAUUGUAUUUCGUCUUGAUAAAUGUGCUGUAUAGAUGCAACACCGGCUGAGGCAAGACCCAACCAUUAUUCUUUCUAUCAUCUUCCCAUUUUACAUCAGCUGGAGUAGGUCGGAAGCCUACCCCAAAGAACUUUUCACUGGCGGUCAGGGUGAUAGGUUCAGCUAUUCCUUGCAAUGAUUUCCCAAGCCCUUUCCCAGGUUUGUAGCCAUGCCUAAUCAUUCCUUUGGCCACCAUGAUUGAUGCAUUAGAAAGGAAGGGUUGAGGGAAAGGUUUUCCUUCUUCACACUGAUCAGUGACCACGAUUUCAAAGGCUUGUUAGACUAUGUGCUCGCUCCGUUGUCUUGCUUCAAGACACGGGACUGAUGGUCCCGAUAAAUUGAUUGUUCAUCUUCCCCCUGGACCACAAUCUCUUGAUCCUCGUGCUCGAACUUCACCAUCUGGUGAAGAGUAGAGGGUACAGCCCCCGCUGCAUGGAUCCAGGGCCUCCCCAAAAGAAAGUUGUAGGAUGUGUCCAUGUCCAGAACCUAGAAGGUUAUUUCAAAGUUUACUGGGCCGAUGGUCAGAAUCAGAUCAAUCUCUCCAAUCGUGUCCCUUUUGAUACCAUCGAAGGCACGUACACAGACGUUGUUGGGUCGGAUUCUUUUGGUACCGAUUUCCAUACGCUGUAGAGUUAAGAGCAGGCAAAUGUCUAACUCAGAGCCUCCGUCCAACAUAACCCUUUUCACGUAGUACCCUUCGCAUUUGACUGUCAGGUGCAGGGCUUUGUUAUGUGCGGCUCUUUCUGGGGGCAAGUCAUUUUUGCUGAAGGAGAUCUAGUUGAUUGCGAAAAUCUUUCGGCUAUUCUCUCCAACUGCUCUACAGAAGUCUUUCGAAAGAAGGCCUCCACUUCUUCGGCACUCACGGGCUUCUUAGAUGGGAAGCGCUUUCUAGUGGCAUUGUUCACCUCUUCCAAAUAGAAAUACUUUUCAGCUGGGUUAUUUUCUUGAACUUCUCCCCAUAUUUCUUUGCCUUUGUAAGUCACCACUGAUUUGUUGUAGUUCCAGGGCACAGCGGUAGGAUCCGUCAUGGGCUUUUGUGAUGUGCGGCUAAUAACUACGGGCUCACUCAGCCUUGGUGGAUUAAUUGGCCCCCACAUCACAUAAGCGCCCUUGGGCACAUACAUUUGGGUUUUCUUAUUCAGCUCGAAUCUCCUGGGAGGACUCAAAGUCAUCUACUUUUCUUUGCAGCCUCGAGGGACAUAGAGAACAACGUCUUUUGGAGGCAUUGCCCUAGUUUCAACUUCAACUUUCUUCUCUGACUUUGGAGGGGUGGUUUUGUUCUUUUUCUCCCCUUUAUCUUGCUUCCGGGCAGCUUUUGGUUUCUUUAUUACAUCAGUGAUGGAAAUGAUGUCCUUCAAUGCUGGGUCAAAUUCCUUGUCCUCACAAAUCAUUCCAAUUACCGGCCUGUUGUUGUGGGCCGGCAGUGGGUUGUUAGUCACAUUGGGAAUAUCUUUAUCCCUUAACACUAUCUUACUUUGUUCUAUCAAGUUCUCCACGGCUCUCUUUAGAGUCCAGCAAUCAUCUGUGUCAUGCCCUUCUGCCCUUGAGUGAUUGGCGCAUCGGGUACCGGCUGUGUAAGCGGGUGAUGCUGGGUUUUUCCUGGUUUGAGGAACAGGCUAUAGCAAACCCAUUUGAACAAGCUUUGGUAACAUUCUGGAGUAGAUUUUGCCAAUUGGUGUAAAAUUUGGCCUCUUGGGUAGUUCACGAAGGUGGAAAUUGUUUUGUGGAGGCUGGGGUUGUAGUGGUUUUGGUAAUGAGGUUGGUUUCUAGAGAAUGGAGCUUAGUUCCGGUUGGCUUGUUGUUAUGGCCGGACAUAAGGUUGAGCAUUCAUGACCGUGUAUGGCUGAGGAGCAUAUGUUACGUCUUGGUGGGGGUAAUAGUGUUGCGGGGUUUUUUCUGAGAAAAGGGAUCUGGGAGUACGGUGUUUUCUUGCACCCAACGCAGCCAUGGAUGUUUCUUCCUGUUUCUUGCCCUUCGCUACUCCUCCAGACCCACCCUGAAUGGCUUGGGAGGUAGCUCUGAUGGCGGAUUGGCUUAGAAUUCAAUCCGUUUUCAACCCAUUUUCAACCAUUUCGCCAAUCUUGAUGGCUUCAGCGAACGGUUUACCCAUUGCGGACAUCAUAUUUUGGAAGUAGUCAGCUUCCUGAGCUUGGAGGAAAAAUGUGACCAUUUCAAUCUCAUCCAUCAGAGGCUUUACCCUGGAGGCCUGUUCACUCUAUUUAACUGCGUACUCUCGGAAGCUUUCCGAGGAUUUCUUCUUCCAGUUUGUCAAUGAGUUCCUAUUUGAAGCAAUAUCAAUGUUGUACUGGAACUGCCUGACGAAAUCUCUAACAAGGUCAUCCCAGAUGUGCCAGCGGGAUAUAUCUUGGUCCAUGUACCACUCAGAUGUGAUGCCAACCAGACUUUCUCCGGAAUAGAUCAUGAGGAGUUCUUCCCUCCCACUGGCUCCUCGCAGCUGGUUGCAAUAUCUCUUGAGAUGAGCAAUAGGAUCACCGUUUCCAUCAUACUUCUCAAAUUUUGGGGUUUUGAAUCCCAAUGGCAGAUGCACAUGAGGGAACAUACAUAAGUCAGCAUAGGAUACACUUUUAUGUCCACUCAAGCCUUGUAUGCUUUUGAUACUCUGUUCCAUACUCCUCAUCUUCUUCGCAAUCUCUUCUUGCUCCGGGGUUUUUGUCGCUUUCUUAUGCCUUGCGGUGAACUCAUACCGGGGUGGUUGGGAGUAAGUAUAGGUGGGAAACUGUGUAGGUUCCAGUGGUAAAGAUGGUGUUUGGAAGGUGAAGGAGGAUGGGUCAAAGCUGGGCAUAGGCAGUGUAGGUUGUGCCGUAGCCGAACAAGGCGGAGCAGUGAAGAUAUUCGAAGCUGCACCUGAAUCUAACACCUGAGGGCGAGCCUUAGAAGGUAUUCCCACAAAGUUGGCGGAAAUAGUAGGGUAUCCUAGUGGGGUAUUUGGAUAGUUUAUUGGGCUGUUGGAGGUCCCACUUGCCCUGGGAAAAAGCUCGGGAAAUCCAGGGAUUGCACUUGGUGGUUCUCUUCCGUUUGCCCAGGCGUCCUAGAUUUCCAUCAUGCGGAGACGUAGUAACCUAUUUUCCUCGACAGAUGCCGAUUCUGGAGUUGGGAUGCCCGAGAUCGGACUCUCAUUCGUAAUAGGAACCGUUGGCAGAGUCAUUUCAAUGCUUCCCUUCGACCUCGUGAAGUAUGGAUGUGACGCCAGACUACCACAAAACCAAUCACCUUUCUUUAAAACCUAACUAACGGCAGACAACAAACUGGUCAGUUUGAAGCAAAUAACACAUAGGUAAUCACAUGUUGGGGUGUGAUGCACCUAUACAGUCAAAUGUGUUUCUACGUGUAUUGCAACGGUUGCAUGUUUCAUCCCAGCUUUACUUACUUUACCUGAUUUUCUCUUCUUUCCACUUCCAAUCUUCCACUUUUUUUUAUCUCUUUUCUCACUCUCAUUUCUCAGUUUUCCUUUGAUUUUUCUUCGGCUCUCUUUUCUUCCUUUUUUGGGUUUUUCUUAUGGGUCUUUCUUUUCACAUCUCUUUCUUCUUGGAGUUAUUUACAAAAUCGUGAUCGAAUACGAUGAAGAUUGCCUACGUAUCACGAUGCCGCGUGAAUCAAAUCAUUACGUAGUUCAAAAAAAAAUGCGAAAAAUAAAGAAAUUUUUUAUUUUAUUUUAUUUUUUGGGUAUUUUCGAUUUUUAAUAAUAAAAACUCCUAAACUUUUCUAUUACAAAGGACUUCAAACUACUCAUUUUCUUGGAACUGCAAACAAACUCAAAAUAAACCAAAAUACAUACUCGAUAAAUGAAAAAUCAGGAAUACAUUAAGGCUUCGACUCCUGGGCCCGUGGGACAUCAUUCGGUCCCGCCACGGGCCUAUAUGCGAGAUCCCCUUGAAGUCGCUCCAAAUCACUCAUUAUCUGGCGGACAAAUGUCCUCACUGCAGCGAAGAAAGUGGUUAGAGUCAUGUACUCACAUGCUUGGCAUUUCAUAACAAUGUAGUCGACAAUGGCUCUAACCCUUUCUCGGAUUCUACCCUUUUCCUGAAGCAGACGCCCGGCCUGCUGAUUCCUGGCUUCUAACACUUGAGAGUCGUGAAGGUGAUGAUUUUGCAAUUGUUGUAUUCCUUCCUCCAUCUGAGCCAUCAAAUCCUAACAGUGUUCCCUGCCAGCUUCGAAAUCUUUAGCCUGCUUGGUUGCCUCAUUCUCAAGAGUAGUUACCUUUCUUCUCAGACUGGUGAUUGUCCCUUCAUAUUUUCUCUUCAUUUGUUGUACAAACUGUGUCCAACCUUUUGCAUUUACCACUAAUUAAGCCCGGGCUUUUGCUAGAUUGGCCUCAGACUUUUCUAGGUCAUCUUGACACUCAAGGGCUUUCUUUUUCAGACUGCUUAUAAGCCUUUCAUCUGCUCGGCUUCUUUCCGGGUUUCUAGCAGCUAUUUUCAUCUUCCUGAUUUGAGCUUUGAGAUUCAGUUUCUUGAGUUAGUUUUUUCUUUUCUCCCUCAUCUGUGGUGGCUUGCAAACUAUUUUCAAACUGAAGGUCCAUGACUUGCCUUUCUAACUGGCUUAUUUUGGCCCUAUAGCUUUCUUCUUUUGCCAACCAGCCCCACUGUUCUUGCGAGUCGCUAGUAAAUUGUUGAACAUGGGCUCUCUUAGCAGGUCUCUCAGGAAUCUGAAAUCUUUUACCGAACCAAAAAAUGUACUUAGGGUCCACUUCACCUCUAGCUAGAUCUCGCACCAUGGUCUUAGGUUCAAGAAAUCUACAUUCAUUCCACACAUGGCGAAUUCUCCCUUCUGAAAAUACGGCUUUUGGGCCCAAUUCAAUGACAUGUUUACUCAAAUCUUCGUCAUGGGGGACGGUUUGAAAUCUUCCUAAUUGGCGCAAAACCCUGUGGGGAGCAUACGGCUGGAUGCUCCGGAUGCCCAUCAGGAAGAGAUAACACACUUCAGCUGACAUGUAUACUGCUUCGGUGACAGGAAGCCAUCCGAAUGCCCACUCAAUUUUAUCGGCAGUCAAUGAGCUCAAAUGUGCAAGCCAAGCUUCAGUCCCCUCGGGGAAUUCAAUACCCACUACUCGGCUUUCAAAUUCUUCAAUGCAACUCAAACCGGUCAUACCGUAAUUCAUAUACCCAACUCGGUGGCAGAGAUGUUCCUGCAUCCAUAAUUGUAAUAACAGAUUGCAGCCUUGGAAGAACUUUCCCCCUCCCCGACAAAUAGUCAAGGCUCGGUAGAUUUCAGAUAAGAUCAGGGGAACUACAGUGUCAUUGGCUUUCUUGAUUGCAACAUCGAUCAUUCCUACGAGACCUACCUCUAUAUUAUCAUCUUUUCGCGGGAAGACUACAACACCCAAGAAUGCUACUAUAAAAGCAAAACCCCGCCUUGCCUCACAUUUGUCUUUAUUCCCGGCAUGGGUCACACCAGUGUUCGGCUUUUCAAAACCUCGAGGGUUACCAUAGCGUUGAUACAAGAACUGGAAAGUGCAAUAACCUUUAGAUAAACUUCCAUCCUGGAUAUUCUGACUAAUACUCAACAGAUCCAGAAAUUUGUGGGGAGAUACCAGUCUUGGUGACACUGGAUAUCGACUUCUAAGGUUUCCAUUAAGGCCCGCAUAACCGCAACAUCCUCUAGCGUGGGUGUGAUCUCAAAGUUAGAGAAACGGAACACAUUGCGAGUUGGGUCCCAAAAAGGUACUAAAGCUUCAAUUAUGUCCAACCUUGGCUUGAUGUUCAACAGUCCGACGAGGCCUCCCAGAACUUUUACCACAGUUUCUCUACUGCCUUUUCCUAGAUCAUUCCACCACAUGUGGAGCUGUAAGGGGAUCUCUUUAAGGGCUGUGAAGGGUUCAAUUUCAUUUGUGCUCAUCCUGCACAUUUAUUAAGGUGAUUUAAUAACUCAUUUUGACCCAAAAGAGUAACACUAUUUUUUCAAAAUUUUACUUAAAAAUAAAACCCGAUUUUGCAGAUAGGGCCUUUCAGCACUUCGGGGAAGAAGAUUUUAAGGCUGUGCUUACUAAUCGGUCGAAAAAUAAAAAAUAAAAAACAAAAUGACCAGAGGUGGCCGUUCUUGCAAAAACAGCCUUCUGGCGCCCUUUUGGGGACAUUCGGCUUAUUUAAGAUAAGAAUGACAUCACCCUACUUAUUUGUGACUAAAACUAAAAUUGUGUUGUUUUUGGGCUAUUUUUGCAAAAGGGAAUUCGACCCGAUGAGGGUUGCCUACGUAUCCCACAUCCAGUGAGAAUCAAACUGGUGUAGUUUGGGAAGAUUGGACGAAAAUAAACCAAUUAUUUUUCAAACAGAAAUAUUUUGUCAAAAUUUUGACAGAGUUUCUGCAUAUUUUUGGACACUGAUUUUCAAAACAUGUGAUUAUCUCUCCGAGCCCUCACAUUGAUUUUCUUUUCCCAACUUUUCUCCUAUUAUUCAUAAGUCGGUCAACAUACAAAUUCGAAGCAAAUAAAUGCACAAGUAGCAAGUAGGAUGCAUCAGGAUGUUCUUUCCUUUUGGGCUACACCUGUCUUAGACAGACCCAACCCCUAUGUUGAGUCUCGUAAGUCAAAUGCAUGUGAUGCAAACAAACAAUCCUACUAGGGAUCCGGCAUGAGCCUUUGUUAUACUAGGUUUGAAACUUGGGUUUAUUGUUCUAGACCUGGCUUACCCGAACGGACAACUCGAGCCGAGGGGGGGUAGCGUACCGGGAAUACAGAAGCUUCAUCGGCUUUGCAACUUGUCCGAGCCUCGUUCUAAAAUUGGGUAAGACUCUAAACAGAAGUGAAGUCACACGAAGUGCACCCUUUUCCAUGAUUUAGAAGACUUAGAGAGAGGAAGGGUUUCGUAGCAGUUUAUAUACAGUUCACAUAAAAUCAAAGCGGUAAAAAGCGGCAUUUAGCACAUUAGGCUCAAACAUGUAAAAAAAUCAGAUAACAGAUAAAGCCAAUCAUAACAGCUAUUCUAAGCUCGAAUUCUUGAACCCUGAACCAGAGAUUCUGGGUUCGAUCCCCAGCCGAGUCGCCAGAGCUGUCACACCUUUUUUUACACAACCGAAGGUAGUACAAGGGAGUUUUUCCACUUUAAGUGACAUUAUUCGAAAUAGGAUUAUUUAUUUAUUUUUGUUCAGAGUCGCCACAUGGGAUGGUUUGUUUUCUGGUGUCCCAAGUCACCGAUUUAUUUUUAAAUCCCAAAUCGAGGAAGAUUUCGACUUUCCUUUUGAGGUCUGCGAAACAGAAAUUCUGAGUAAGGAAUUCUGUUAACCCGAGGGAAGGUAUUAGGCAUUCUCAGAUUCCGUGAUUCUAACAUGGUCACUUAAACUAUUAUAAUCAGCCUAUUAUCUGAUUUUAAUACAUGUUUUAGCCUAUGGUACAUUUUAACUUUAUUAAAUCGCUUUUAAUUAUUUUUAGGAAGAUUCAACGUUAUUUAAAACAUGUCUUGAACCACGCCACAUGAAAUGUACCCGCGAUCCACGACACAUUUUAUUUAACAUUGUUGAGAAUUGGAGUUGGGUCACAUCAAAUGCAUACCCGAGUUUAAGGAAAUUAAUUUAGUAGCACACCUAAAUUAAUUUGUGAAGGCCAUGAAAAAUUAAACUAAUGGCACACCUCGAUUUUUAAAGGGUUAAAAUUAAUUAAGUGAGGGCCAUGGUUUUGGGAUUUUAUUUGGCAUGGCACGCCCCAUGUUAUUACAAAAGGGUUUUAUUAUUCGAAGUUGUUAUAAUCGGGUCACAUGAAAUGCACCCCAAAUUUGGGAAUUAGGUAUCGUAACUAUGUCACGGGACCGUACCCACAAUCACGAUAAAUUAUUAAUCGUGCCUGAGGCAAGCUACGAUGUUUGUGAUUUAUCUCCUAAAAUUAAUUUGAAAUCAAGCGAAACACUGAUUUUUGGGUAUGGAAUUAUUAUGAAAGAAAUAUAUAUUUGCAACCACAUAAUAACAGGGCAUAUCACUUUAACUUCAUUUCUAACCGGCAGAAUUAUUCAACCAUGCUGAUUACUCAAUUUGUCAUGAGACAUCUACGAUGAACCUUGAUGUAAUUGUACUACUAAUAUGACGGGAAUAUGUAAAACAUGACAGUAUAGGUGUGAUUGUAUAUUGAGUUCAAUUUACAACAUAAAACCAAAGUUAUCCACCUUGGUACACAUUACUCGUCAUUGUUUUUCCUUUUUUUUUUUGAAUGAGCUUAAAUAGCGUUACAUUGGCCAGAAGUUCUUCACGGAAAACAAACCAAGUAAUAAUGAAAAGUCAAUUAAAGCUUUAGUUUUCAUGUAGAAAGUUUCAAUUUACAGCACGAAGACCUCCUAUUAUAGUAUUACAAGAUUCAAACAAUGAGAAAAUUUCUCUUUACAAAGGCAUCCUUUUACUUUCUGAUUAAAAUUAACACAGAUGACAUUUAUUUCAUACUAAAACUAAACCAAGAUCGACAAACUCACAGUACACAGCAGAUGAAUCAGAGAGCAAUCAUAGCUUCAUAUUAAUAGAUUUUACAAUAGUUUGAGGAGAAACCAUACCUAACAGCUCGAAGCUUCAACUUAGAGGAAGAGAAAGCCAAAUAGAGGCUAGAACAGCUAAUUAGAGUCCCACUAUGCAGAGAACAGCAAAAUCAACAGCGCUUUUUAACCAAAAAUGUUUAGAAAACCAGACACAUGGAGAUAAACUGCAGCAAACUCAAUCAAUUCGGAAAAUAUCCUUCCUGUCCUCUUUCUUUUUAUUUAUGUUUUCUUCUUCUUUUGCGGAAUUUCAGUGCUCUAAAUCAGAGAGUGCUCCCUUUCUUUUGCUCUUGCGUGUGGGUGAGGAUCUAUAAGAGAAGAGUGAGUGAGAUGAAUUUUGGGAGGUCAGUGAAGGUCGCUAGAGUCGCGUGAGAGGAGGUGAGCCAGUUCCCUGAAUUUUGUGUGUGUUUUUCUAUGGAUAUUGAAUAAGAAGAAGAAAGAAGCUCUCUGUGUUGCACCAUUUUUUUAGGGGUAGAGAAAUCUGAUCUUUUAGCCUGGAUAAAUGAAGAAGAAGAUGAAGAAGAUCUCUUCUCUUGUUUUUGCUUGGGAGCCCAUUUCUAAAAAAAAAUAUGAUGUGUGUCUUAUGCCCAGAAAAUGAUGAAGAUUGGGUGGAGGAAAUAUUUUUGGGGAGAGUGGGGAACAUGAGUGGGGAAAGUGGGGAGAGUGUG
rnacentral:lncRNA from 1 species